AAAGAAGCCUUGGGUGCUGGAGAAGAGAUGCUCAGCCAAGGCUGCAGAGGCUUCAGCCACUAGCAUGGAUGCAGUUGGGAGGGACAAAUGCCAGUGUCACAUUCAUCAGCAGUUUGUUCACUCACUUCUACCUCUACUGAGAACAGGGAACUUGGGGUUGAGAAAACGUUUGAUGCUUUUGAAAUGCUGCGAAAUGAAGACAUGGUUGUGGUACGAAUAUGCAUGUCCAUGCCUGCCAUGAGACCACAUACAGAUCCACGGGUUUUAGAAAAACAAGAAUUACAGCAGCCAACCUAUGUUGCCCUGAGUUACAUAAAUAGAUUCAUGACAGAUGCUGCCCGCCGAGAGCAGGAGUCCCUAAAGAAGAAGAUUCAGCCGAAGCUCUCACUGACUCUGUCCAGCUCAGUGUCUCGGGGGAAUGUGUCCACUCCGCCACGCCACAGCAGUGGAAGCCUUACUCCCCCCGUGACCCCCCCCAUCACCCCCUCCUCUUCAUUCCGCAGCAGCACUCCGACAGAAAAUGAGAUCAUCACCUCAGGAAGAUGUCUGCACUCUCAUAUUC
rnacentral:sRNA from 1 species